rnacentral:rRNA from 1 species
AGAGUUUGAUCAUGGCUCAGAACGAACGUUGGCGGCGUGGAUUAGGCAUGCAAGUCGAACGCGAACCCGGGUAGCAAUAUUCGGGGAGAGUGGCGAAAGGGGCAGUAAUGCAUGGGUAAUCUACCUCGGGGACGUGGAUAGCCAUUCUAACGAGUGGGUAAUACACGGCGAUUCGGCGAGGGGGCAUCCCUUUGCCGGGAGAUGAAUUUCGCCUCGGGAGGAACUCAUGUCGUAUUAGCUAGUUGGCGGGGUAACGGCCCACCAAGGCUCAGAUGCGUAGCGGGUGUGAGAGCACGACCCGCGCCACUGGCACUGAGACACUGGCCAGACACCUACGGGUGGCUGCAGUCGAGGAUCUUCGGCAAUGAGCGCAAGCUUGACCGAGCGACGCCGCGUGUGCGACGAAGGCCUUCGGGUUGUAAAGCACUGUCGAGGGGGAGGAAAGCCGCAAGGUCUGACCUAUCCCUGGAGGAAGCACGGGCUAAGUUCGUGCCAGCAGCCGCGGUAAGACGAACCGUGCGAACGUUGUUCGGAAUCACUGGGCUUAAAGGGCGCGUAGGCGGGCCAUCAAGUCAGAGGUGAAAUCCCCCGGCUCAACCGGGGAACUGCCUUUGAUACUGGUGGUCUGGAGUAAGGUAGGGGCAUGCGGAACUGAUGGUGGAGCGGUGAAAUGUGUUGAUAUCAUCAGGAACUCCGGUGGCGAAAGCGGCGUGCUGGACCUUUACUGACGCUGAUGCGCGAAAGCCAGGGGAGCAAACGGGAUUAGAUACCCCAGUAGUCC